CUCGUGUCGUGAGAUGUUCGGUUAAGUCCGCUAACGAGCGCAACCCUCGCUGUGUGUUAUAUGUGUCACACGGGACUGCCGGUCUUAAGCCGGAGGAAGGUGGGGAUGAUGUCAAGUCAGCAUGGCCUUUAUAUCCUGGGCUACACACACGCUACAAUGGCCAGCACAGUAGGUUGCUAAGCCGCGAGGUGGAGCCAAUCCAUAAAGCUGGUCUCAGUUCAGAUUGCAGGCUGCAACCCGCCUGCAUGAAGAUGGAGUUGCUAGUAACCGCAGGUCAGCUAUACUGCGGUGAAUACGUUCCCGGGGCUU
rnacentral:rRNA from 1 species